GUGUAUGAAUAAGAGUGGAUGACUAAGAGUGUAUGAAUAAGAUUUAUUCAUGUAUUUUAUUAUAUAAAAAUGGGAGCCAUUACCUCCCUGCUUGGCACUCAGCAUCAAGGGUUGGAAUUGGGGGUUGAAUCACCAAAAUGAUUCCCGGGCGCGGCCACCGCUGCUGCUCACUGCUCCCCUCACCUCCCUGGGGGUGAUCAAGGGUGAUGGUUCAAAUGCAGAGAAUAAUUUCGCCACACCUAGUGUGUGUGUGUGUGUGACAAUCAUUGGCACUUUAACUGAACUUUUAAUGAUGUUAUUCAUAUUAUUCAGAUUGAAAAGCUUAAGGGGCCGCAUGUGGCCCCCGGACGUUCAUUUGCCCAGGUCUGUGCUAAGGUGAUCUCUAGAAGUGGUCCACACUCCAUGUCAGUAGGUGGCGGUAAUGCACACCAGAAGGUUGCUUGCCAACCUGCUAUAAAAACAAAAGAAGAAGAAGAAGAAGAUCCACACUUCCGGGUGGUGAUGACGUCGCGUCGUGACGUCAUAUUUCAAAAUGGCAGAGCCCGCGGAAAGACCCCCUGGAGUCGACUCCAUUUCCCAAGAAAAGAUGUCAACAGCGCGACUUGUAACAAUUAUAAGGCCGAGGAGGGUUAUUUGAACACACACCAUUCAAUUAUUAUAAAUGAAAGUCACGUUUUUUAACCGCUCCGGUCUCGUCCCAGCGGAAGUGACGCUAGCACGUCAUCAGAAUACAACAGAUCAACACGACGAGAGAGACAUUCUGCCGCUGGACAAAGGUCACCGAGCAGCGACGAAGUUUGCAUUUUCGGUAGAGGUCCAGGGAGCCACGAGGGCGGUGCUAAAGAGACGCGGGUUGCUGACCCCCGGCCUACACCCUAGACUGGCCGCCAGUUCAUCGCAGGACACAUGAAAAAGCCUUCGCCCUCAAAUCAGAGAAGUAUUCAUUUACUCUAACAUGAUUUUUAUUCAGUUCAAUGCAUUUAUUGUCAUUGUCAUAGUGAAUAACACACACACUGCAUAGUAACCAUGUAUCAAAAAUGCAUUAGGUGGUGCAAUCCUGACCCAUGAAACGCGUAAACACAAAGGGUGCCACGAACGAUGCACAAAAUUCACAGUCUGGUAUGGAUCGGUACUUGAGCGGCGCCGUUCGAUACAUUUUUUCAAUACCCAAAAGAGGGAAAUGUUCAUGCCUUUUUUUUAACUUGUAGUUUAUUGAAAUUGUCGUUGUCCACGACAGAAAACGGUCGGCAAGGCGAGUUUAUUUACAGAGCACAGUUCGUACUACAGGCAGGCCAGUCUAGUACCCGCACUCUUUUACUACGAAGCCACGCUGUUGUAACACGUGCAGAAUGUGGCUCGGCGAUAUCUUACUGAAAUAAGCAGGGGCGGCCAUGAAAAAGACGUCGCUUGGAUGGCAACUUUUGUUGCUCCAAAACCUGUAUGUACCUUUCAGCAUUAAUGGUGCCUUCACAAACGUGUAAGUUACCCACUAAUACACCCCCAUAUCAUCAAUCUUUAUUGCAGACCUUAAGAUCCAUUUAAACAUAUAAAAACAGAAUAUAAUACAUUAAAAAACAAAACAAUAAAAACAUACAUUAAAAACAAAACAAAACAAGUUUUCCAUACAAUUACAGACGCUGGGUUUUCAACUUUGCGCCUAGAACAAUCCGGAUGGUUCUUUUCCUCUUUGGUCCGGAGAACACGACGUCCACAGUUUCCAAAAACAAUUUGAAAUGUGGACUUGUCAGACCACAGAACACUUUUCCAGUUUGCAUCAGUACAUCUUAGAUGAGCUCGGGCCGAGCGAAGCCGGCGGCGUUUCUGGGUGUUGUUGAUAAAUGGCAUUCGCUUUGCAUUGUAGAGUUUUAACUUGCACUUACAGAUGUAGCGACCAACUGUAGUUACUGACAGUGGUUUUCUGAAGUGUUCCUGAGUCCAUGUGGUGAUAUCCUUUACACGCUGAUGUCGCUUUUUGAUGCAGUACCAACACAAAUACAACUUUGAAACUACGUGCUUUCUGAGAAGAUUACCGUAGUAACUAGUAUAUCAUGCAAAAGCGCAGAUUCCAACCAAUCAGUCCAUCUUAGAUGAGCUCAGGCCGAGCGAAGCCAGCGGCGUUUCUGGGUGUUGUUGCAUUUAUCAACAACACCCAGAAACGCAGAGUUUUGAGGACGAAAAUGAAUUGAUACCAUUUUAGAAUAAGGCUGUAACAUAGCAAAAUGUGGCAAAAAAUGAAGCGCUGUGAAUACUUUCCGGAUGCAGUGUACAGUAUAAAGGGCAGAUCAAUAGAAGUGAUAAUUAGACGUUGCAGUUCAUGGGUGGGAUGUGAGAGAGGGUCACUGCCUGAGGAUACAGACGAGCUGUUGGCAAGUUGUCCUGGCACGUAUAGACCUGUUCCUUCUACCUGAGGGCCGCAGGUGAGGAGCAGGGUGUUGUUGGUCACGCAGGAUGCUGUGCACUUGCCUCAGACAGCAGGUAGUGUAGACUGUGCCCAUCUCUGGAAGACUUGAUUUUUUUUCAGCUGUUUUAAUCACCGAUUAGAGAGUCUGCUGUCAUGGCACACUUAUAAAAGCUCACUCUUACACUAGGAAGUGGAGUCAUUCAUUGCGCUUUACCUGACACAUGAAACGUGACAAAUACGAUCGCUGAGAUGAAACGGAUCAGGCCCGUGAACAGGUUCUAUCCGGAUGAAUUUGCUAAGUAUACAAAUGAGCUGAAAUUUUUCUAUGAAAGAAACUGCUGUUUUAAAUGUGUCCACUAGAUGUGGCAAUGGCAAUUCUUUGUAUCUUUGUAGAUGAUACUACAUACAGUAUGUACAAAAAAAAUAAAACACAUGAUGUUAGUGCAACAGUCGAAGAAAAUUAGCAAACUACAUAAAUAACAUCCUGUAAUUUGAUUUUGAUUUUUUUUUUUUAUCUUGUUAGAUUGAAAAUGAACACCAAUGAGUUGACUGAUGAACAUUAUCACGUCAUUUAUUCAGAAAGUAUAAAUAACGACAAUUAAAGGUAGAACACUAUUAACUGCAACAUGUAAGUGUAAAAAAACAACAUGAUUUGUUUAUUUUUGAGAAAUUCUAUUUUUAAACAAAGAAAACAAUCUGAAGUUGUCUUUAUUUUUAAGUUAUCGUGCCGUGAUUUUACCAGUCCGGCCCACUUGGGAGUAGAUUUUUCUCAAUGUGGCCCCCGAUCUAAAAUGAGUUUGACACCUCUGGCCUAGAUAAAUUGGUAAACAUCCUCACAAAUAUUGAUAUAAAGCAUUACCGUAUUUUCCGGACUAGAGGGCACACCGGAUUAUAAGGAGCACUGCCGAUGAAUGGUCUAUUUUUGAUCUUUUUUUCAUAUAUAAGGCGCACCGGAUUAUAAGGCGCAUUAAAGGAGUCAUAAUAUAUAUAUUUUUUUCUAAAUGUAAAAGACUUCCUUGGGGUCUACAUAACAUGUAAUGGUGGUUCUUUGCUCAAAAUGUUGCAUAGAUGAUGUUUUACACAUCAUCUUCAAGCCGCUUCCGGGUGCGCCGUUUUGUGGGCGGUCUUAUUUACGUGGCUCACCUUCGGCAGCGUCUUCUCCCCGUCAUCUUUGUUGUGAAGUGUCAAAAGAUGGAGCUAACUGUUUUAAUGACAUUCAGACUUUACUUCAAUCAAUAACGGAGCAGCAUCUCCUCAUCCAGAAACAACAACACCAGAAAUGUGUCCCGUGAAAAAUCGUCCGACCAGAACUCUAGUAACUAAAGUUCCUUGGGUGAAUAAUGAAAUGGCAACAGCAGAAGAUGGAUGUCCCAUAACAAGAAGGUGGAGAAAAAGAAGAAGCUUAUCGACUACGGUGUCGGCACGGACUACAAAGGCGGACCUGCACAAAUUUUCAGGUACCAGAAGUACCUCCGUGUCUCCGCAGUGAGCCGUGCGCCUCACCUGCCGAUCUUCCCCCUGGACUCUGACUGCCUUCCUCGACCCCCGCACUCGGACCUGGACUUCUGGACGCCUCUCUCCUGCCCCCACGGACCUCGCUCGGAUCACGAACCUCUUUUGCUUCGCCCCUCUGGACUUCUUUGCUGCCACAACCAACACACACUUACAAUAACCUCUGGUAACUUAUAUUUGGUUAACUUCUACACAUAGCCCUGCAUCCACACACAUAGUAGCAUACACACCCGACGUAAUCAUCAAGCUCAAAUAAAACCCGUUGAGCUAGACCUCCUGCUGUCGUACCGUCUCCUUCCCCCUUCGUCUUACGUAACAGUACCGGUACCAAAAUGUAUUUUGAUACUUUUCUAAAAAAAGGGUACCACAAAAAAUUGCAUUAUUAGCUUUAUUUGAACAAAACAUCUU